AUUGAACGCUGGCGGCAGGCUUAACACAUGCAAGUCGAACGGUAACAUAAAGAAGCUUGCUUCUUUGAUGACGAGUGGCGGACGGGUGAGUAAUGCUUGGGAAUCUAGCUUAUGGAGGGGGAUAACUACGGGAAACUGUAGCUAAUACCGCGUAAUAUCGAAAGAUUAAAGUGUGGGACCUUCGGGCCACAUGCCAUAGGAUGAGCCCAAGUGGGAUUAGGUAGUUGGUGAGGUAAAGGCUCACCAAGCCGACGAUCUCUAGCUGGUCUGAGAGGAUGACCAGCCACACUGGGACUGAGACACGGCCCAGACUCCUACGGGAGGCAGCAGUGGGGAAUAUUGCGCAAUGGGGGCAACCCUGACGCAGCCAUGCCGCGUGAAUGAAGAAGGCCUUCGGGUUGUAAAGUUCUUUCGGUAGCGAGGAAGGCACUUAGUUUAAUAAACUAAGUGAUUGACGUAACUACA
rnacentral:rRNA from 1 species